CUCGAUUACAUCACAAUCUACAUUCGCAUUCAAAUAAUCCUGGUAUUAUUGUGCUCAGCCAUCUUAUUUUGUCUUCCGUUUUUUUGCUGCAGCUCUAUAACCUGUUGAAAAUGAGCUGGUCAAAUGGAUACACUUACUGUAGCGUUGUAGUCUGAGAAGUAACGUUAGAUGUCUUGACAUGUUAUCGUUUUAAAACAAGCGGCCCAUUCGUAAGUUCGUAAGACGUUACCUUCAUGCUGUCUAAAUAUAAACAGAAGACGAGUACUGCACUGGAAAGGGUUGGAGCUGCAUAGAAAGAUGUCAGAGGUUUUCUAUGUGAGGAAGGCUCACGAAGAGUCCCACUGGGUGAAGGCCUUUGAUGGCAUGUACUAGAGACAGCGUAAAUCGACUCUGGGACCAAAUGUCAGGAAAACGUGGAUUAGAUCCAGCUAAGAUGGUAAAGGGCUCUGCAAGAACUAAGUCUUCAUUAAAGC